CCCGUGUGCUCAAUCGGUUUAGAGCGUCUGACUCUUAAUCAGAAGGUUGCGAGUUCGAGUCUCGCCAUGGAGG
rnacentral:tRNA from 1 species